rnacentral:lncRNA from 1 species
AGGAAUUGACGAGGGAUAGCAUUUGAAGAAGAACGAUCCAACAUCCGCUGGUGAUCUCUUCGUGAAGAGGUAAGCGUAGGUUCGGCUUGGUUUUCCUUUCUCUUGGAUUCCUGCUUCAUCCUCGUCCUUCUUUGUGGUUUAUGUUUGGUUUUCUUGUUUCUUUGCAUUUUACUCGUGGUAUUAUUUGUUCUCGCGUUGACCAACUUUUGUUUUUCAAAGGAAGAGUUUUUCCUUGGUUCUGAUAGUUUGCCUUCCUUUUAAACAAAAGAAGAGACAAAUAAUGGUAU